UACGGAAGGCAGCAGUGGGGAAUAUUGCACAAUGGGCGCAAGCCUGAUGCAGCCAUGCCGCGUGUAUGAAGAAGGCCUUCGGGUUGUAAAGUACUUUCAGCGGGGAGGAAGGUGUUGUGGUUAAUAACCGCAGCAAUUGACGUUACCCGCAGAAGAAGCACCGGCUAACUCCGUGCCAGCAGCCGCGGUAAUACGGAGGGUGCAAGCGUUAAUCGGAAUUACUGGGCGUAAAGCGCACGCAGGCGGUCUGUCAAGUCGGAUGUGAAAUCCCCGGGCUCAACCUGGGAACUGCAUUCGAAACUGGCAGGCUAGAGUCUUGUAGAGGGGGUAGAAUUCCAGGUGUAGCGGUGAAAUGCGUAGAGAUCUGGAGGAAUACCGGUGCGAAGGCGGGCCCCUGGACAAGACUGACGCUCAGGUGCGAAAGCGUGGGAGCAAACAGGAUUAGGAUAACC
rnacentral:rRNA from 1 species